rnacentral:rRNA from 1 species
GAUGAACGCUAGCGACAGGCUUAACACAUGCAAGUCGAGGGGCAGCGAGGGCGUAGCAAUACGCCUGUCGGCGACCGGCGCACUGGUGAGUAACACGUAUGCGACCUGCCCCCUACAGGGGUAUAACCCGUAGAAAUGCGGACUAAUCCCCCAUAGUCCUGGGUGCUGCAUGGCAUUCAGGGGAAAGGUCAGCCGGUAGGGGAUGGGCAUGCGGCGCAUUAGCUGGUUGGCGGGGGCAAACGGCCCACCAAGGCGACGAUGCGUAGGGGUUCUGAGAGGAAGGUCCCCCCACAUUGGAACUGAGACACGGUCCAAACUCCUACGGGAGGCAGCAGUGAGGAAUAUUGGUCAAUGGGCGCAAGCCUGAACCAGCCAAGUAGCGUGAGGGAAGACUGCCCUACGGGGUUGUAAACCUCUUUUGUUUGGGAAUAAAGUGCGGGACGCGUCCCGCAUUGCAGGUACCGCA